GACGAACGCUGGCAGCGUGCCUAAUACAUGCAAGUAGAACGCACAGUUUAUACCGUAGCUUGCUACACCAUAGACUGUGAGUUGCGAACGGGUGAGUAACGCGUAGGUAACCUGCCUGGUAGCGGGGGAUAACUAUUGGAAACGAUAGCUAAUACCGCAUAAUAUUGAUUAUUGCAUGAUAAUUGAUUGAAAGAUGCUAUUGCAUCACUACCAGAUGGACCUGCGUUGUAUUAGCUAGUAGGUGAGGUAACGGCUCACCUAGGCGACGAUACAUAGCCGACCUGAGAGGGUGAUCGGCCACACUGGGACUGAGACACGGCCCAGACUCCUACGGGAGGCAGCAGUAGGGAAUCUUCGGCAAUGGACGAAAGUCUGACCGAGCAACGCCGCGUGAGUGAAGAAGGUUUUCGGAUCGUAAAGCUCUGUUGUAAGAGAAGAACGGGUGUGAGAGUGGAAAGUUCACACUGUGACGGUAUCUUACCAGAAAGGGACGGCUAACUACGUG
rnacentral:rRNA from 1 species